rnacentral:rRNA from 1 species
CAGCACCUCAAGUGGUCAGGAUGAUUAUUUGGCCUAAAGCAUCCGUAGCCGGCGCUGUAAGUUUUCGGUUAAAUCUGUACGCUCAACGUACAGGCUGCCGGGAAUACUGCAGCGCUAGGGAGUGGGAGAGGUAGACGGUACUCGGUAGGAAGGGGUAAAAUCCUUUGAUCUAUUGAUGACCACCUGUGGCGAAGGCGGUCUACCAGAACACGUCCGACGGUGAGGGAUGAAAGCUGGGGGAGCAAACCGGAUUAGAUACCCGAGUAGUCC